GGGAGAUAGUGACUGUACCCAGUAAAGAAAGACCGGAUAACUCCGUGCCAGCAGCCGCGGUAAUACUGAGGGGGUUAGCGUUGUUCGGAAUUACUGGGCGUAAAGCGCGCGUAAGCGGAUCAGAAAGUUGGGGGUGAAAUCCCAGGGCUCAACCCUGGAACUGCCUCCAAAACUCCUGGUCUUGAGUUCGAGAGAGGUGAGUGGAAUUCCAAGUGUAAAGGUGAAAUUCAUAUAUAUUUGGAGGAACACCAUGGGCAAAGGCGGCUCACUGGCUCGAUACUGACGCUGAGGUGCUAAAGUGUGGGGAGCAAACAGGAUUAAAUACCCUGGUAGUCCACACCAUAAACUAUGAAUGCCAUUCGUCGGGUAGUAUACUGCUCGGUGACACACCUAACGGAUUAAGCAUUCCGCCUGGGGAGUACGGUCGCAAGAUUAAAACUCAAAGGAAUUGACGGAG
rnacentral:rRNA from 1 species